UAAUGAAGAGACGUGCAUUAGGCAGAGAGGAAACGGAGAGGAGAGCCAGGGACCGCCAGUACUGACAAAAUUCAACUCGAGAAGAAACUCAGGAGUCCCAAGGACAUAUCCAAGGCCCAUACAUCUGUUUGUCCAUCUAUCAAAUCAGGCUGUGGAAGUGAUUUGCUGCUCCGUGGCUCUUCUUCUGUUUCAAAAGUGAAGGCUUGAAUCACAUGGACGUGAAACCAGCAAAACUCCACAUGCAGAAAGGCAGUAUGGCGUGGUGGAACAGGUGCUGGCAGGGGGGCAGAUCUCGGGUCCAGCCGAGAUUCAUCCCUUAGAGCAAUCAGAGGCCCAUAAAGCAACCCUGGGCCUCAGGGAAGCUGUUCUCUGU